CUUUAUUCAACCUUUCCAAGGCAUUACAGCUCCAUGUAGUCGCCGAUUGCAUGUGUGAUUUGAUGAUUCGUUACUUAUUCAUGAUUGUUUGAGUUAAGUCUGGACUAUUGUAGAUUUGUAAGAAGCUUUGCUAUUUUUGGUUUGAGUUGGUUAUGUUUUUUGUUUUGUUGUGGGUUUUGUUUCUUUUUGUUGAAAUAGGAAAUCGGUUUGCUCGGAUCUACUGAGAUUUUGAUGAUGAACACCAUGAGGUAUUCAUCUUUGGUUCUGGAAUUUUAGGUGGUUCGUUUUUUUUGUUUAAAUUGGGCUUUGGUUUUGUUUUGUUGGAAGAAGAUGAAUGGAUUUCAGUUUGCAGGAGAAAGUUUUGUUCGGUUGAGGUGUGUAGGUAGGGAGAGAGGGAGUGAACGAAUGAGGUGAGGUUAUCUUUUUUCACUGUGUUUGUUUUUAUGCUUUUAUUCUAAGUCGUACCAAGUGGUGAGAUGGGGAUACGUGUAGGAAACUAAUGAUGCAUGUUGUUUUCUUUUAUUGCAUCGCUUUUCUCGAAAUCAUUUAUGGUAGUGGUUGGAAUAUGGACCGUUAAUGGUGAAUUAUCCAUUUUUGUUUCGUUCCCCCACGCGUCUGGUUGGUUGGUGCAAAGGAUUUGUUUGACUCCCUUCUAUAUUUGGGCCAAAUCCGGGUUUGGGUCUUCCUGGAGGGCCAACCCGGUGCAUUUUCCCCUUUUGGGUUGUAUCCACGGUAGCAUUUGGGUUGGAUCUAGUUUAGAUCCUUUAACUUCUUUUCUUUUCUUUUCUUUAGUCAUUUUCUUGUUUUAUUUGUUUAUAGAAUUAAACUAAUUAAUUAAAUUUCUGAUAAUUAUGAAAUUCUAAUUAGGUUAGUUAAGGAAUUAAUUUUGUUUUUAUUCAAUCAACAUGAUAAAAAAAUGUUAAAUUUAAUUUAUUAGUUAAAAUAGAGUUAAUUAUUUUUACCCUAGAUAAUUGUUCUCAUUAGGGUUAUUCCUCUACAAUAUCAUGCCCAUUUUUCUUAUUCAUUUAAAUAAUAUGCUUCGGUCAUGAGAUAUGCUCGCUUGUAUUCGUCUAAAAAAUUCAAUGUUGACGUUUGUGAAAACUCUAACCUUAAGGUAAACCUAUCAAAAUGUUCAAAUACGAAAUCCUUGGCCCAACACCAAGUGAUCUUUCUCAAAUCCGAUUAAAACCUUGCCAAAUUCAAAUCCAAAUCAUUUUUUAUUAAUGUACUUCUUAUAAACUUUUAAUUCUAAAUUUUAGAUGAAAAGGGGUAUAGUAAGCGUCCGCUUCACUAUCUCUCGAGUCUUCCAAUAAUUGGCGUUCGCCAUAUUGCUCGAAUUCUCGUCGUCUAAUUAAAACCCUAAACUAAAAAUUCAAAUCACUUUCCCUAAAUUAAGUAAAAUUUCUAAAGACUUUUUUAUAAUUUAAAUUUUAGAUGAAAAGGGGUAUUGUAAGCGUCCGAUUCACUAUCUCUCGAGUCUUCGAAUAAUUGGCGUUCUCCAUAUUGCUCGAAUUCUCAUCGUCUAAUUAAGACAUUAAUCGUACAAAAUUCAAAUCAUUAUCUCUAAAUCAAUAUGAACUCCUAAAGACUCUCUUUUAUAAUUUAAACUUGGAAUGAAAAGGAGUAUAAGAAGCGUCCGCUUCACUAUCUCUCAAAUAUUCGAACGAUUGGCGCUCGCCAUAUUGCUCAAAAUUUCGUCGGCCAAUUGAAAUACACUAAAUGAACUUGGAUAAAGGAAUGGGGGGUGCACACCUCAUCAUUCCUUGAAUAAGCAAGUGGGAGGCGCACGCCUCAAUACCGUGCAUAUUCGAUUUCCGCAAACAAACUUUUAACAAUAAUUUAAAUGAAAAAAGGGAAUAAAAGGCAUUCGCCUUAUUAAUCCUCGAAAGAUUGAAUAAUUGGUGUGCACCAUAUUGCUCAAUUUUUUGUCGUUCUUCUGAAACAUACCAAACACUAAACUUAAUUCCUCGCCCUUGUGCGACCAAUAACUUAAUUCUUUUCAAAAAGAACAUUGUUUAAUCCUUUUUGACGCACACAAGAAACUAGUGCUUAAGCCACCGCCGAGAGUAGACAAGCCAACAUUUAGCCUUUAGAACGUGAUCUAAACAGACGUUCAUUAAAAGACACCAAUGAACCGUAGUUCCCCGAACUACGAAUGCUCUGAUUUCCUUAUUGCACCAUAAGGAUACGUAGGCACGAGAUUACAAGAUCUUGACGAGCACACUAAUAAAAAAACCUCUAUCUUCCCCCUUCUGAGGUUUCAAUCUAUCUCUUUUCAAUAUUUUUAUCACUCGAAGAAAACAAACAACAUUCAACUAACAUUCAAAUUGCAAAUUAAACUAAAAGUUUUCCGUUGAGUACAACGAACGUGAAGGGUGCUAAUACCUUCCCAUUGCGUAAUCGACUCCUGAACCCGAAUAUGGUUGCGACGACCAUUAUUCUAUUUUCUAAAGGUUUUAUCGAUAUUUUCCUAUUCCUUCAUUGGGAUAAAUAAAGUUUGGUGGCGACUCUAUUCGAACUAAUUUUUUCCGCGACCAUCGCGAGGAAUCGUAUUUUUCGAGAAGCGACAAAUGGCGACUCUGCUGGGGAAUUUUAGCUCCAAGCUAGAGAGAGUCAAUCCUAACUUAGUUUGAUUUCUGAUGAAUGUUAAAUUACUGUUUUUCUUCAUUAUUUGCUUUUGUAUAUCUUGAUGUAUUGUUUAUGCUAUGUGACUUAUUCUGCUAUUAUAUUGGGUGAUCUAUGGUGUUUGACACACGUUGUGAGAUAAGCUCUGUACCUGAGCUUUGAGAAGAACUUAGAACCCGGAGUUGUGUAGUAUCAAACCGAUGGGUAUACACCUUGUUGGGACAAUACAAAUACUCCACCUAGAGUAGAUAUGUUCGGAAUUUCCAUCACAGUAUGGCUAGCCCAUUAUUGCGAGGGAACUUUGAACAUGAUCCGUGACUCUAGGAACCCCGCCUUAAACUGAAGUCCGUCUUCAUGAUUAACGAUUGUGUAGAAUUGAACCGAAGGGUCUACACCCUGUUCAAACAAUACGAAGAUCCCACUUAGAGUAGAUUGAUUCAAAACUUCCAUCUUGAUGUGGCUAGUCCAUUAUUACGAUGGAAUACUGAACAUAAUCCAUGACUCUAAGUUUUUGUCUUGACAACGGACGACCUUAGGAGCUAUCCUUUGUGUGUGGGGUAAAGGACAUAGAACCACCAUUUAGGGUGUACCAUGUGAUAUAUAUGAAACAUGGAGCCCUGUCAUUGCAUAAAACUCAUAUUGCAUUCAUUAUGAGCAUAACAAGAUCAUUUACACAUUUUCUAUUUUCAGGGAAUUUCAAAAUUUUCAGUUGAUUAAGCAUUCAAGAAUAGAUGGAGCCAGAAAAGAGAAAAACAUUCCAAAUCAAAGCCAAAGUACCAUGUGUGAAAGAGUUCAUUGCAUUCAGAGACGGGUUGACUAAUAUCCGUCGAGACGUGUUCCUGCUCAAAUAUGGGAAGAUUCUACACUUGUUAUAUGUACCAGUACAAAAGGAUGUUAUUACCGCACUAGCCCGGUUUUAUGAUCUACCACUCAGAAGUUUCCUCUUUAGAGAUUCCCAGUUGGCUCCAACUUUGGAGGAAUUCAGAAAAAUAUUGGACUCUCCUAAAUAGAAGAAAGGACCUUCUAGGGGACUGGGUCAAAUCUAAAAACCCAAGGAGCUGGCAGAAGUAUUGGAUAUUCCAAUUGAAGAUCUAACCCCUAACAUCAAAAUUUGGGGAAAGGUACAAGGAAUUCCUCAAGAAUACUUGGAUAAGACUGCUCAAAUCUUCGGCAAAGCCCAGAAGUGGGAAGCCUAUGACACUAUUAUGGCAUUAAUCAUUUUUGGAUUGGUGUUAUUUCCUAAUGUGGAGAAGUUGGUGGAUGUAGCAUCUAUUAGUGUGUUUUGGGCCGUUAAGGUUAAGAACGAAGAUCCGGUGCCCGCACUUCUGGCAGAUGUUUAUCACACCUUACACUUACGCUUCGAAAAGAAUGGGGGAUUGAUGUUAUGUUGCAUACCGCUCCUUUACCAUUGGUUUGUCUCUCAUGUGUUCAAAGAUGCUGAUACGGUUGAGAGGAUGGAUUGAUAUGAGUGGUCUCAAAAGCUGGUAAGACUCACAGAAAAUGCCAUUAUUUGGUACCCUCAUGGUUUGAACGUGAGAGAUGCAAUUACUAGUUGUGGAGACUUUUCGAAUGUACCAUUAAUAGGGUCAAAGGGUUGCAUUAACUAUAAUAUUGUCCUAACAGUGAGGCAAUUGGGUUAUCCUAUCACAUACAAGCCAUAUGACUAGUUGUUAGAAGGUUUUGUGUUUCAUGAUAUGGAAGACCCCGUUAUGUUGAGAAGGGUUGUCCGAGCCUGGGAAAAGUUCGUUUCAAGGGACAAGACAAAGGAAAGGGCGUUAUAGGAGAUAGAGAACCCUAUUAUCAGUAGGUCACAAAGAGAAGUCAAAAGGUCAAGCUUCCAUUCAUCCUUGAUCCUCCUACUAAACCUCCACCACCAGAACCUAUCCCUGUCUCCACUAAGGAGGUGGAAGCAUUGAAAGCUACUAUAGCAAGACUCGGGAGAGAAAAUGAAGAGUUGCAGAUCAGCCUCCAGCAAGUUUCAAAUGAAAGAAAUAAUAUGAAGUGGGAACUAGAAUAGAAAAAGGCUCAGCUAGAGGAAACUGAGGAAAAGGUCGAUAAAGAAGAGCACAAGAGAAAGAAGGUGAAAGUGGGCACAGAACAAGUUGACCUCUACUUAGAAACUAUCAAAGAACAAUUGAAACAAGUUGAGAAAGAAUGCCAAAAGAAUAAGCGAUGGUGGUUACGAGAAACAGAAGAAAAGAAAGAAGUUAGAGAGGAAUUAGAGGCUAAGAUACAUGAUCUCACUAUCUCUCUUCAUAACGCUGAAACCCACGCGGAGCACGAGCGUCGACUCAAGGAAAGAGCCCUUGAAGCUUUUCGGGUCGCACCUGGGAUUUAGGUUGAGAAAUGUCAAGAAGCAAAGGAUGCCAGAGAAUACGCUCAACAUUGGAAAGACAGACUUGAAGCCUUCCAUCAAGAUAGUGUAAUAUGGUUAAAAGAGAGAGAGCAGGUUAUCGAGGACUACGAUACAUUCAGAAAAACUAUCAACUUCUUGCAAAAGGACAAAAAUGGGUACCGUGUAAAGCUCAAUGAUUUGGUGGAAUUCUAUAAUUGGAUGGCCUGGGAUAUGCCUUGGAGAUUGAGGGAGGCAGUGGAAGGACUGGACCAAGAUGGCACACAUCCCGAUGUGGUCGGUUUUGUUAUGAUGUGUGAGGGAAUGGUGAAGAAGUUCAAGUUUGAGUUGGAAGAACUUAUAACCCAAAAAUCUGUUGUGUGAUUUUUCCAUUUUUCUUGUACUCAGUUUAUGCUUUCGCAAGAGUUUAGUAUUUGAGUUGUAUUGGUUCGGGCGGUUAUGCCUUUGUAUUCCGUACUUUGACAAAUUGAAUGAAUGAGGAUGAUCCUCACUUUUUGUUUCUUCGAAUGCUUAAUAAAACUACAACCAUUAUGAAUAAUUCCCUAGAAAUAAAAAGGAAAAACAUCUUUCUCAUUUGCAUGCAUCUACCCCCAUCACACAUUUCAUUUCAUAAAACUUACACAACCUUUUUACCCUCUAUCCAGUAACGCUGACUAAUCAACACCGAUACGAGACGCGAAAUAACUACAGGAUGACGUUGGAGCAAGUUGAGGCUAAUCAGGCCACUAUGAGGACAGACAUCACCGUUAUCCAAGAGAAGAUGGAUCAAUUACUAGAGACGAUGCUAGCAAUUGCCCAAAGAGAAAGGGUUAUGGAAGCAGAAACUGGAAUGAGGAAAAAUGACAGUCAUAUUGGCACAUCAGGACUGGUCAAUCAGGAUCAGAGCUUCACUCACGCGAAGAAGAUCUUUGUUCACAUACCAGUAGGGAACAAAGGGGAUGGAGAUCAUGUGGAGCCUUCUAAUGCAUCCGCUCAACAUGGGUCUAAAAUGGGAGGAGAUGAUCCAUACGACGCUUUUUAUGUACCAGAUCCACCAAAGCCUAAGGUUCUUCCAGAUCCCACUGCAGAAAGGCUUCACGCCUUAGAGAAGAAGAUCAAGGCUAUAGAGGGGAAUAACAUAUUUGGUUCCGCUGCCAUGAAUGUGUGAUUGGUGUCAAAUUUGGUCAUCCCGACUAAAUUUAAAACUCCUGAUUUUGAGAAAUACAAAGGCUAGACUUGUCCGAGAAGUCAUUUGGUGAUGUAUUUGAGAAAAAUGGUUGCCCAUACUGAGAACGACAAGCUGCUCAUACACUGUUUUAGGAUAGUUUAAGUGGGACAUCCUUAAGGCGGUACAUGAGUCUGGUGCAAGGGCGAAUCCAAAGUUAGGAGGACUUGGCUGAUGCUUUCCUUCGUCAAUACAAAUACAAUCUGGAUAUGGCACCCAAUCGUAUGCAGCUACAAGGGAUG
rnacentral:lncRNA from 1 species